AAUUCGAUGCAACGCGAAAACCUUACCACCUUGACAUGGCAGGAAUCCCGAAGAGAUUUGGGAGUGCUCGAAAGAGAACCUGCACACAGGUGCUGCAUGGCUGUCGUCAGCUCGUGUCGUGAGAUGUUGGGUUAAGUCCCGCAACGAGCGCAACCCUUGCCAUUAGUUGCUACGAAAGGGCACUCUAAUGGGACUGCCGGUGACAAACCGGAGGAAGGUGGGGAUGACGUCAAGUCCUCAUGGCCCUUAUAGGUGGGGCUACACACGUCAUACAAUGGCCGGUACAGAGGGUAGCCAACCCGCGAGGGGGAGCCAAUCCCACAAAGCCGGUCGUAGUCCGGAUCGCAGUCUGCAACUCGACUGCGUGAAGUCGGAAUCGCUAGUAAUCGCGGAUCAGCAUGUCGCGGUGAAUACGUUCCCGGGUCUU
rnacentral:rRNA from 1 species